UACGUAGGGUGCGAGCGUUGCCCGGAUUUAUUGGGCGUAAAGCGCGCGCAGGCGGCCCUGUGCGCUGCCGGUGAAAGCUCCCGGCUUACCUGGGAGAGGUUCGGCAGGACGGCAGGGCUGGAGGGUGGGAGAGGUCGGUGGAAUUCCCGGUGUAGUGGUGAAAUGCGUAGAGAUCGGGAGGAACACCCGUAGCGAAGGCGGCCGACUGGACCACACCUGACGCUGAGGCGCGAAGGCCAGGGGAGCGAACGGG
rnacentral:rRNA from 1 species